rnacentral:lncRNA from 1 species
CUAAUGCUCUGAUGAAGGUAGUGGUGGACGGGCCGAGAGUCAAAUGAUGCAUAUUAAGCACUGACAUAAUAUGGAUGAAGUGAACACAUUAGGAAAAAAGUAAAUUUACAUAAUUUUUAAUAUAACCAAAUAAUACAUUCACCAGUUAGGCUGCUCCUCCUUCAAAUUGUUUUCAAUUGUGGUACUUCCUUAAGCAAGUUCUUAAAAAUUUCUUUACAGAUUUAAACAUCAACUUAUCAUAUAUUCCAGCAAGUCCACUUCUAAUUAAUUAUUCCAGCAAUUCCACUUCUGGAUAUAUGCCAGAAAGAAUUGAAAGCAAAGACUUGAACAGAUAUUUGUACACCCAUGUUCAUGCAGCAUUAUUCAUAACAGGCAAAAGGUGGAAACACCCAAAUAUUCAUCAAUGGAUGAAUAAAAAAAAGUUGUAUAUAGGAUAUUAUUCAGCCACAAAAAGAAACAAAAUUCUGAUAUAUGCUAUAACAUCCUCAAGACAUUAGGCUAAGUGAAAUAAGGCAAACGGACAGAGAAAGGCCAAAUCUUAUCUGAUGCUACUUAUUUGAGGUGUCAAUAGCAGUCAAACUUAUAUAGAAAGUGGAACGGGGCUACCAAAGUCAGAAGGAGAGAAUACAGAGUUAUUAUUUAACUGAUACAGCGUCUCUAUUUGGGAUGAUGGAAAAGAUCUGGAGAUGGAUGAUGGUGAUGGUUCCACAUCAACGUGAUUGUAGUUAAUGUCACUUAAAAAUAGUUAAAAUGGUACAUUUUAUGUUAUGUGUAUUUUACAACAAUGAAGAAAAUCCCUCUUUUCUGAACAGGCAAGUCAGUGUGAAAAGAGGGCACCGAGGAAAAUUUAGAAAGAGAAAGGUAAUUAGAUUGAGGCUAAUACUGGAAGGAGAUAAAGAAAUCUGGCUGAAUGUAAACUUCUGGCUUAAUAUGAACUUAAGGACAUCUGAAGAGCACAUGUGAAGAGUGAAGAAAAUACUUUUAUUCUGAAUAUUAUCACAAAGAAAUCCUUAUGACCUAUGUAAAAUAUUGUUAUUAGAAACUAUCAAAUUAAAUGUAAAAAUGAGUACUAGAUCUAGUAAAUAUUUCUUGUUGACCUAUCCCAAAUGUUGUCAUCAUGAGAUGCAUGAGCAGAAAUAAAAUCAGAUGUUUUUAUUACUCAUCUACUUUACAUCAUUGUGUGAGCAGGUUACCUUCAGUAGCUUGAAUGCUGAAACAUCAGAUAAAGGAAUGCAUCCACUCCUCUGUGUGUUUUUAACUUGUUAGGAA